AUUGAACGCUGGCGGAAUGCUUUACACAUGCAAGUCGAACGGUAGAGGGGGGCAACCCCCUUGAGAGUGGCGAACGGGUGAGUAAUAUAUCGGAACGUGCCCAGUCGUGGGGAUAACGUAGCGAAAGUUACGCUAAUACCGCAUACGAUCUAAGGAUGAAAGCGGGGGAUCGCAAGACCUCGCGCGAUUGGAGCGGUCGAUAUCAGAUUAGGUAGUUGGUGAGGUAAAGGCUCACCAAGCCGACGAUCUGUAGCUGGUCUGAGAGGACGACCAGCCACACUGGGACUGAGACACGGCCCAGACUCCUACGGGAGGCAGCAGUGGGGAAUUUUGGACAAUGGGCGCAAGCCUGAUCCAGCAAUGCCGCGUGCAGGAUG
rnacentral:rRNA from 1 species